CCUCUUUCACACCUCAGCUGGCCCCACUUCAAUUCCUUUUACUAACUUCGUUUCUUAUUUCUGCAUGACUAGUAACCUAGAAUAGUAGAUAAUUUGCAUGUGGUUUUGAUUUAAUUGAUUUCUUCUUGCAUGAUGAAGUUGUCAAAUAUUUGCCUCAUGCGUGCGCCAUCAGAGAUGUGGAGGAUGAGGAGCUUCGCAGCUUCUUCUAUGGCAUGGAACCAUGGCAGCCCUAUUGUUGAGAAAUUAAAGUCACUGAACUUGUAGGAAGCAUUAGCUGAUAUUUUCCUGAGGAGCACGGAGCUCAUGAAAGACGCUAGAGGGAUUGCAUCCCUGAGCGGAAUUGUUCCUCCUUUGGUACCAUUUGUUCAAACAUUCGCAGCAGUCAUCACUGCAGCCCACACAGGAUCCCUCUACUAUAUAGCCACUGCUCCGAAAGGUGAUCCAUGUUCUACUAACAGUCCUAAUUUACACAUGCAACCUGUUAAUGCAGAUUAUCUCUGUUGUCAGUUUCCAUACCAAUAAUACAACUCAAAUUGGUUUCUAACAAGUAUACUUUGAGAUUAUUCUGUAUUUAGAUUUAAAUAUUGUUAGUGUUUUGCAGUGCCUUAAUAAUGUGAUUUGAGAUAACUAUAAGAUGUGUGUUCUGUUCUGCCUUGUAUGGCCCCCAUUACCUGUUGGCGUUGCUUGCCUCUUACUAGCUAGCUGUUUAGUAUCCUUGGCCUGUUUCUGUCUGAAUGUAUGUGGCAUGUGUGAUACGGCAAUAGACAGUAGCCAGUUUGGUGUCGUGUAGUAUCAUUGUUUGCUUGUUUCGUUAGCCUUUAGUUAAUUUGUUGGUAACACACUGAUGAUGCUUGAACAAUGAACGCUGGCUUAAAACUUACAACUUAGAUCCAUUUGAACUUUUUUUGUAUUUACAUAUCAUGGCAUGUCCUGUAAUUUGCUUGUUCUUUUAUCCUGUCCUGAAUAAGUGAUGUAUAUAGGUGUAAUGGGAAGAUUGGGACGAUUCCAUUCUCAUCGUCAAAAAUGUGUCAACAAGGAUGCAACAGCAGUUGUGCACCCAUGUGCAACUAUAUGUUUGAUGUAAGGAAUUGUGGUUUGUAAUCAGUGUAUCGAUUUAUGGUUUGUAAAAGGUGUAUGAACAUGUGACACUUUGUGAGUGAAUUAUAUUUACUAUGUGUUUACUCUGUGAGAUUUGAUGUAGUUAUUAUGAGAAUGAUUUGCAAUAA